rnacentral:lncRNA from 1 species
AGUGGGGGAGGGGCAGAGAGAGAAGGAGACAAAAUCCCAAGCUGGUUCCAUGCUGUGGGUGCAGAGCCUGACAUGGGGCUUGGACUCCUGAAACCCUGAGAUCAUGAACUGAGCCGAAAUCAAGAGUGGACGCUUCACCACCUGAGUCACCCAGGAGUCCCUCCACAGAGGUAAUUUCAAAAGUAUGUUUAGGUGGCCAUGUCUGGGGUUUAUCCUAGGGACAAAGGCUCUGAUUUCUAAACAUAUGUUCUAUACACAGCAUUUAAAGUCAUCAUCUUGACAGUGACCCUGUGGCCGAGGUGUAUGAGCAGCUGAGCUCAAACUGUG